GAUGAACGCUAUUGGGAGGCCUAACACAUGCAAGCCGAGCGGUAGAGAUCUUUCGGGAUCUUGAGAGCGGCGUACGGGUGCGGAACACGUGUGCAACCUGCCUUUAUCAGGGGGAUAGCCUUUCGAAAGGAAGAUUAAUACCCCAUAAUAUAUUGAAUGGCAUCAUUUGAUAUUGAAAACUCCGGUGGAUAGAGAUGGGCACGCGCAAGAUUAGAUAGUUGGUAGGGUAACGGCCUACCAAGUCAGUGAUCUUUAGGGGGCCUGAGAGGGUGAUCCCCCACACUGGUACUGAGACACGGACCAGACUCCUACGGGAGGCAGCAGUGAGGAAUAUUGGACAAUGGGUGAGAGCCUGAUCCAGCCAUCCCGCGUGAAGGACGACGGCCCUAUGGGUUGUAAACUUCUUUUGUAUAGGGAUAAACCUUUCCACGUGUGGAAAGCUGAAGGUACUAUACGAAUAAGCACCGGCUAACUCCGUGCCAGCAGCCGCGGUAAUACGGAGGGUGCAAGCGUUAUCCGGAUUUAUUGGGUUUAAAGGGUCCGUAGGCGGAUCUGUAAGUCAGUGGUGAAACCUCAUAGCUUAACUAUGAAACUGCCAUUGAUACUGCAGGUCUUGAGUAAAGUAGAAGUGGCUGGAAUAAGUAGUGUAGCGGUGAAAUGCAUAGAUAUUACUUAGAACACCAAUUGCGAAGGCAGGUCACUAUGUUUUAACUGACGCUGAUGGACGAAAGCGUGGGGAGCGAACAGGAUUAGAUACCCUGGUAGUCCACGCCGUAAACGAUGCUAACUCGUUUUUGGGUUUUCGGAUUCAGAGACUAAGCGAAAGUGAUAAGUUAGCCACCUGGGGAGUACGUUCGCAAGAAUGAAACUCAAAGGAAUUGACGGGGGCCCGCACAAGCGGUGGAUUAUGUGGUUUAAUUCGAUGAUACGCGAGGAACCUUACCAAGGCUUAAAUGGGAAUUGACAGGUUUAGAAAUAGACUUUUCUUCGGACAAUUUUCAAGGUGCUGCAUGGUUGUCGUCAGCUCGUGCCGUGAGGUGUUAGGUUAAGUCCUGCAACGAGCGCAACCCCUGUCACUAGUUGCCAUCAUUCAGUUGGGGACUCUAGUGAGACUGCCUACGCAAGUAGAGAGGAAGGUGGGGAUGACGUCAAAUCAUCACGGCCCUUACGCCUUGGGCCACACACGUAAUACAAUGGCCGGUACAGAGGGCAGCUACCUAGCGAUAGGAUGCGAAUCUCGAAAGCCGGUCUCAGUUCGGAUUGGAGUCUGCAACUCGACUCUAUGAAGCUGGAAUCGCUAGUAAUCGCAUAUCAGCCAUGAUGCGGUGAAUACGUUCCCGGGCCU
rnacentral:rRNA from 1 species